rnacentral:tRNA from 1 species
GGAGGUGAGAUUCGUCUGGUGACGGGCCCGGGCUUCAAACCCGGUGAGGGGCGGUUUUCGCCGUCUCUGGUGGGUUCGAUCCCCACACGCCUCCGCCA